rnacentral:rRNA from 1 species
UGGGGAAUAUUGGACAAUGGGCGAAAGCCUGAUCCAGCCAUGCCGCGUGUGUGAAGAUGGUCUUCGGAUUGUAAAGCACUUUAAGUUGGGAGGAAGGGCAGUAAGCGAAUACCUUGCUGUUUGGACGUUACCGACAGAAUAAGCACCGGCUAACUCUGUGCCAGCAGCCGCGGUAAUACAGAGGGUGCAAGCGUUAAUCGGAAUUACUGGGCGUAAAGCGCGCGUAGGUGGUUCGUUAAGUUGAAUGUGAAAGCCCCGGGCUCAACCUGGGAACUGCGUCCGAACCUGGCGAGCUAGAGUAGGGCAGAGGGUGGUGGAAUUUCGUGUGUAGCGGUGAAAUGCGUAGAUAUAGGAAGGAACACCAGUGGCGAAGGCGACCACCUGGGCUCAUACUGACACUGAGGUGCGACAGCGUGGGGAGCAAACAGG